rnacentral:rRNA from 1 species
CCUACGGGUGGCAGCAGUAGGGAAUCUUGCGCAAUGGGGGAAACCCUGACGCAGCAACGCCGCGUGAUCGAUGAAGCUCUUCGGGGCGUAAAGCUCUGUCAGUGGGGACGAAACCUGACGGUACCCACAGAGGAAGCCCCGGCUAACUCCGUGCCAGCAGCCGCGGUAAUACGGGGGGUGCAAGCGUUGUCCGGAAUCAUUGGGCGUAACGAGUUCGGAGGUGGUACGUUAAGUCUGGUGUUAAAGGCGGGAGCUCAACUUCCGUAGGGCACUGGAUACUGGAGAGCUUGAGUGCGGUAGAGGUAAGGGGAAGUCCGGGUGUAGCGGUGAAAUGCGGAGAUAUAAGGAGGAACAUCGGUGGCGGAAGCGCCUGACUGGGCCGUAAUUGACACUGAGGAACGAAAGCCGGGGUAGCAAAUGGGAUUAGAUACCCCAGUAGUC